CUUUAUUUCUUCAUUUAAACUGUAUACUGGCAUGAAAUGCCACUAAGAGACAAAACAAAUGUAAUCUACCUGGUACCUUCCCUCCUGUUGUGUUCCAGUCGGGUAUCCUUUAAAUUAAGAAAUUAAGUAUAGUGAUGUCCCGAACGGUUCGCCGCGGACGGCGAACAUAUGCGGUAAACUUUGACCCUGUACCUCACAGUCAGCAGACACAUUCCAGCCAAUCAGCAGCAGACCCUCCCUCCCAGACCCUCCCACCUCCUGGACAGCUCACUAAGAAUGCAGCUUCACA